rnacentral:tRNA from 1 species
GCCAUAGCUCAGAUGGGAGAGCACCUGCUUUGCAAGCAGGGGGUCGGCGGUUCGAUCCCGCCUGGCUCCACCA